CAGUAGCCACGGGAAUACGGAGGGUGCAAGCGUUAAUCGGAAUUACUGGGCGUAAAGCGCACGCAGGCGGUCUGACAAGUCAGAUGUGAAAUCCCCGGGCUUAACCUGGGAACUGCAUUUGAAACUGUCAGGCUGGAGUCUUGUAGAGGGGGGUGGAAUUCCAGGUGUAGCGGUGAAAUGCGUAGAGAUCUGGAGGAAUACCGGUGGCGAAGGCGGCCCCCUGGACAAAGACUGACGCUCAGGUGCGAAAGCGUGGGGAGCAAACAGGAUUAGAUACCCCCGUAGUCCCGUCUCUUAUACA
rnacentral:rRNA from 1 species